AGCGGCGGCCACGACUAAACACACUCUCCUCGCUGCCUCUCUGGAGGCAUCGGCCUCGGGACACGGGGAGACAACACGAAAACAUGGUGUCCUCUCCAAGGUCUCUAUCCGAGUGAGUGGGAAGGGCAGUUAUAGAAUGUGGCUGCCUGGUUACCGGGGCUCCAGGUUCUGUUGGGCUCCAUUGUCAGGAGCAUCUUCCAUUUGUAAAGGAAAAAUAACAUUUCAUGGAAAUGAUUCAUGGGAAUUAUCUGAGUUAUUGACUUUUCUGAACAUGCUGAAGAGGAUGUAGCUGCUACUCGAACAAAAAGACAUCUUGACAAGACAAAAACUGCUUAUUAACACAUGCCAUCCACGUCAUUCAGGACAAACCCAAGCCAAAGUGACCCUCAUGACUCCUGCGUAUAUAACAUUUUCAACAAAGAACAACACAUUUGUAGAGAAAUUGUGGAACAUAGACUUUAUAAAAAGUACAAUGAAAACCAUCAAAUGAUUUAAGAGGAGUGACAUUAUCAAAUAGAAACAUUUCAAGAUGACUUCCUGCAGGUGGGCAAUGCUGAAUAGAAUAUGAAUAAAAGCCGUUUUCGAGAAAAAUA